GAUGAAUGCUGGCGGCGUGCCUAAUACAUGCAAGUCGAGCGGUAACAGGGCUUCACCGUGUCCUUGACACUCCGGGCUAUUAUGCGGGAGGAAAGAUUCGAGGAUACAGUGAAGUUGCUGACGAGCGGCGGACGGCUGAGUAACGCGUGGGAACAUACCCUAAAGUAAGGGAUAACUAGUCGAAAGAUUAGUUAAUACCGUAUGUGCUCUUCGGAGUAAAGAAUUUAUUCGCUUUAGGAAUGGCCUGCGUACGAUUAGAUAGUUGGUGAGGUAAUGGCUCACCAAGUCGACGAUCGUUAGAUGGUUUGAGAGGAUGAUCAUCCAGACUGGGACUGAGACACGGCCCAGACUCC
rnacentral:rRNA from 1 species